AGGAUAAACGCUGGCGGCGUGCCUAACACAUGCAAGUCGAACGUCUCUUCUUUCGGGAAGAGGAGUGGCGGACGGGUGAGGAACACGUGGGAACCUGCCCUUCAGUGAGGAAUACCGGCGAGAAAUCGCCGACAAGACCGCAUAGCCCUCUCUGGUGAGAGCCAGAGAAGGAAAGCCUCGCAAGAGGCGCUGGAGGAGGGGCCUGCGUCCGAUUAGCUAGUUGGUGGGGUAAGAGCCUACCAAGGCGUCGAUCGGUAGCUGGUCUGAGAGGACGAUCAGCCACACUGGGAUUGAGAACGGCCCAGACUCCUACGGGGGCAGCAGUGAGGAAUUUUCGGCAAUGGGGGAAACCCUGACCGAGCAACGCCGCGUGCAGGAAGACGGCCUUCGGGUUGUAAACUGCUUUUCUUUGGGUACGAGCAAGGACGGUACCAGAGGAAUCAGCCCGGCUCACUACGUGCCAGCAGCCGC
rnacentral:rRNA from 1 species